rnacentral:lncRNA from 1 species
AAAGGGCUUCCCCAGCCACACUGGAGAUAAAGAAAUCAGCUUUGGAGCCUAUGGAAGUUGAUUAGCCAGAAAAAAGGAAAGAAAGGAAGAAAGAAAAUGGUUCCUCCUGAGUUUUUAAGGUAGGAAGAAAAAUGGAAAUCUAUAAAGACAGCCAUACCUAGGUGCACUGUGCCUGUUCACCAAAGCCAGCAUUGGAUGGUAAGAGUCUUGACAGUGACAUUAAAACCCUUUGCCAUUCAAGGCCAAGCAGUUGGAACUAAGGAAGAGCGAACAUUUCUCCUAGUGUUUGGGACUCGCCCUGUGUGACUAGGGAGCUGAAGCCUCAGGCAAGUCUAAGCUAGCCCGAGGCGGAUCCUUAGGAGACAGAUCUGGUCGAACCCCGUUGCACAGGUCUUCGAGCAGUGAAGGGGGGGGGGGCAGCUCAGUGAAGGGAGAGGGCACCUCUGACCCACAGUGGUAGGAACUGUACGUGUAUGUGUGUAUCUGUAUGUUUUGUGCAUAACUAUUUAAAGAAACUGGAAUUUUGAAGUUACUUUUAUAUGAGUCAAGAUUAUUUGCUACAGACCUGAGACAUGAUCUGGCCACACCUUUCUAGUCAUGAUGAAUGUAUUUCAUAUAUUAUCUUCAUUUAAUAAAAUUAACUUUCAAAACC